UUAACUUUAAAAAGAUGCAAAGAAGUAGGUAGAUCAAAAUUAAAAUUAGGCAAAACAAUUUUGUUCCAGAGAUGGGGUGCACGAUAAUCAAUGCAAAAUUGGAUUCAAGAAUUUGAGUUGAAUGAUAGAAAUAUUGGGAAAUGAUCAGUUAUAUCUGCUUUCAAUAUACCUUUUUGUAUUUUGUUAUUGAAGACAUCAGUUGUAAUAAUGUUAUCAAUGAGAGUUGCUGAGUUUGCUGAUUCUCUAGUUGGACGAUUAAUUAGGGGAAUCGCUCCUAUUUUAAAUAUUAAAUCAUAAAAUAUUUUGAUUUCACA